CGGACUGGUGAGUAACACGUGGAUAACCUACCUAUAAGACUGGGAUAACUUCGGGAAACCGGAGCUAAUACCGGAUAAUAUAUUGAACCUCAUGGUUCAAUAGUGAAAGACGGUUUUGCUGUCACUUAUAGAUGGAUCCGCGCCGCAUUAGCUGGUUGGUAAGGUAACGGCUUACCAAGGCAACGAUGCGUAGCCGACCUGAGAGGGUGAUCGGCCACACUGGAACUGAGACACGGUCCAGACUCCUACGGGAGGCAGCAGCC
rnacentral:rRNA from 1 species